rnacentral:rRNA from 1 species
GACGAACGCUGGCGGCGUGCCUAAUACAUGCAAGUCGAGCGAAUGAUGAGGAGCUUACUCCUCUGAUUUAGCGGCGGACGGGUGAGUAACACGUGGGCAACCUGCCCUGUAGACUGGGAUAACUUCGGGAAACCGGAGCUAAUACCGGAUAAUUCUUUUAGCCUCAUGGCUUUAAGCUAAAAGUCGCUUCAGCGUCACUACAGGAUGGGCCCGCGGUGCAUUAGCUAGUUGGUGGGGUAUCGGCCUACCAAGGCAACGAUGCAUAGCCGACCUGAGAGGGUGAUCGGCCACAUUGGGACUGAGACACGGCCCAAACUCCUACGGGAGGCAGCAGUAGGGAAUCUUCCACAAUGGACGAAAGUCUGGUGGAGCAACGCCGCGUGAGUGAUGAAGGUUUUCGGAUCGUAAAACUCUGUUGUAAGGGAAGAACAAGUGCGUUAGGUAAUGAACGCACCUUGACGGUACCUUAUUAGAAAGCCACGGCUAACUACGUGCCAGCAGCCGCCGUAA